UUAUAAACGUGGAAAGAGAGCUAUGCGUGAACAUGACUCCCUAAACAGUAGCACCGUUAAAAAGACGGUGGCGGAGAUAAAGAUAAAUUAGAA
rnacentral:sRNA from 1 species